CUGGCUCAGGACGAACGCUGGCGGCGUGCUUAACACAUGCAAGUCGAACGGUGAAGCCCUUCGGG
rnacentral:rRNA from 1 species